rnacentral:rRNA from 1 species
UACGGAGGGUGCAAACGUUGCUCGGAAUUAUUGGGCGUAAAGCGCACGUAGGCGGUCCAGCAAGUCGGGAGUGAAAUCCCUCGGCUCAACCGAGGAAGUGCUUUCGAAACUACUGGGCUUGAAUACUGGAGAGGGUUGCGGAAUUCCCGGUGUAGUGGUGAAAUGCGUAGAGAUCGGCAGGAACACCCAGGGGGAAACCAGUGGACUGGGCAGGCGCUGACACUCAUGUGCGAAAGCGUGGGGAGCGAACCGG